ensembl:lncRNA
GAAAGAGCAAAACAGGGGAGUUUUGACAGCAGGAGUAACUGAAACAAGCUGCCUGCUUGUUGACACAUGCGCACAAGCAACUACCUCAUGAUAAGCAAAGGCUAGCUGCUUCCUAUUUUUCUGUGUUAUGCUUCACCCACAGUGACCCAGAUAGCAAAUUUCACACGUACACUACAAGAUUGCACUUCUUCAUAUACACAAAUAGCACUGAUCAUUUUCCGACACCCAAUUUGUAUCAGGAAAUGGCCCCAUGUUUCCCUGCACGCUAAUUUACUGGUAAUGAAAAAUAAGAAAGAUCUGAAAUAAUUAGUCUGGGGUUUUUUUUCUUUUGUUUUUUUGGUUUUCUUGUCACCUUAUCGGGACUGUUGUGUCUGUUUGCUUUUCCAAGCCAGUGAUAUUACAGUUUACAUCGAGUUGUAAUAUGUUGUUUGUCCAGAAACAACAUAUUACAAGAAAACUGUAUCGGCAUUAUGGCUUUUUAGUCAUUUGUAUAAAAUAAAGCUAUAAUAACUAUAUGUGUGGAUAACAUGCAUGAUAACAACUAAUUUCACGCUUACAAUGUGUUCUCACUAGACUGAACUCUUUUUUUUACACAAAUAGCAUUCCCGCUAUUGGGUGCUGUCAGUUUUGGUCAAGACGUAGUCACGUGUUGGCCUACUUCACACUAAUUUACUGAUAAUGAUCAUCAUCACAUGCUAUAUACUGAGUGGUAAGAUUGCAGAACUGUGAGUGGCUGCUUGCUCUUGUGAUGACUGGUUGUGUGCUAGCAUAGAUAAGACGAGAGCAGGUUUAAAAAGCAGAAGCAUUUCUGAACUUUUGUCAGAAAGUAAAACUUCAUAUCUCCUCGUACUACAACAGUUACGCUGACAAUAAAUAGCAUCUAUCUGAUUGAACAGUACAAGUAAAAUGAGCAUAAACAUUUUGACUGCCAUCAUCUUCACUGCAUCCUUUUUCCCCUGGGCCAUCAACAUGACUGAAUAUCCAACAUUCCCCUGUUACAACAAAAGCUCAGAAUACAAAUACAACAAAUUUGUCAAAAAUCACAUCCUCCAUGACAGCUUUGACAGAAAUUCUCUAGAUGCUUGGAAAAGGUAUUUGAAAAAGGAAGGCCUCUGGUGCCGAACUCCAGUGCAGUCCUUCAUCAGUGACAGUGAGUGGAAUGUCGACAGGAUCUGCAGCAGUGAUGGUCGUCGCUUGGCUGACUCAGUUACCUACGCAGGCAACUUGUGUAUCAGCAACUCAGAAAUGCUGAUUUAUGAGGUCACAAUUAAGAAAACCAACAAGGGUCGUAAAAUUAAUGUUACUCGAGCCCAGAGGCCUGUUAUUGUUGCGUGCGAUAAGGUUGGAAACAAGUGCCUCCCAGUUCAUUUUCAGAAAUAUGAGCACCAAACCCCAAGCAAUAUACCCUGCAAUCCUGCAAGAAUUGUCAGUAUUGCAGUAGAAUAGGUUUUCAUUAUCAAACGAAUUAAUCUGUUGCAAAAGUUUCAACUCAUCAUCUUUGAAGGGUGUUAUGCUAUAAUCACUAUGUCCCUUGUUUGUUACAUUCUAAAAAUAACCCACGAUAGGUGAAAUCUGUGAAGUAGUCACCUUUAUUUUAUUUUUACAAAUAUUAUAGAUGUUUUAAGGCUGUAAAACCCCUCACUAUACUUUAUACACUUUUCUCAGACAGGCAUGAACAUUUCUCUCCUUUUUAAACCUACAUGUAUAGUGAGUUCAUUAGAACAAAUUGAAGACUCUCUAGCACAAUUCAUAAUUUAUUCAAAGUCAAAAGUCAAAGUCAAAGUCAUUCAUUGCUGAAAUAAAGAUUAACACAUCUUCCACGUUACCUUCAGAGUAAAAAAAAUGCAUUGCUUAAAUAUCUUAUGUCUUGCCUUCUAUCAGUGUCUGUAAAAUAAAUAUUUUAUUAUUUAUUAAGAAUGAUUAUUCAUUAAUAGCUCUCGACAUUGAGGAUACUUCAAUUUAUAGUUGUGAGUAAAGGAACCAGUCUUAAUUUUUGCCUGCGAUUGAGUUCUUAUUCUAUUAAUUUUUCAUUGUUUUCACACUCAUUCACACAUGUUCCAAUUAAGAAUGAACUAUGAAAAUGUUUCUGUGCUCAGCAAGCAGCUUCACACUGUAUUUAUUAUGUUAAACAGAUUUAUCAUUUCGGUAGUACUUUAUAUUAUAGCUCGAUGAUAAAGUGUUAAUCAAAGAUUAACAAGGCAGAAGAACGUUUUGUAUUAUAUUGUAAGCUUGUAAUGUAUUACCACUCAAUUACCAAAGUAAUAGCCAGGGGGCGUUAUACUGCAGUUUUUUGUUUGCUCUCAAUUUUGACACGCCCUAUUAAAGACUAAUGUCAGUUUGUACAUGCUUUUUUCAAAUUCUUCAACCCUUUAAGACCUACCAUAGAACCAAGUCUGCCAGAGCUUAUCUUUAUAUUUUUACAUGCUGUAGUGCCAUUUUUGGGAGCAUUUCAAGUUGCUAUACAUCAAUACAACCAUUAUAGCCCAAACUUUAAUUAUAUAUAUGCAUUAAGUGUAUAAUAAAUUGCAAAAAUAAAUAAAUAAAUAAACAACAAAAAAAUUGAAAA